rnacentral:tRNA from 1 species
UCCGCCAUAGCUCAGUUGGUAGUAGCGCAUGACUGUUAAUCAUGAUGUUGUAGGUUCGAGUCCUACUGGCGGAG